rnacentral:rRNA from 1 species
AUGGAUCUCGGUGAGAUGACCCGGGGGAAACAUCGGUGUGGCGCCGCAAGUUUUAGGGACAAUGCCCUGGUCUUCGGGGUCGGUCUUCUACAUCGGUCGAGCCGCGCCAUUGUUCUCCAUGGUGAGGCCAUCCCAGGUCGAUUCCUGGUACCGAAGGCGAUCACCACGACGACACAACCUGUAAGAGAUGGAGAUGGGUGUCGAGGCGGUGGAAGAAAGAUAAGGAAGGAGAUCGUAGUUUCUAGCCACAUGGGGCCCAUGGCGUGUGGCGCAUGCCCGACCGGCCGAAUUUCUAGCCGGUGGGCCGGAUAG